rnacentral:rRNA from 1 species
CAACGGGUGGAGCCUGCGGUUUAAUUGGACUCAACGCCGGGCAGCUCACCGGAUAAGACAGCUGGAUGAUAGCCGGGCUGAAGACUCUGCUUGACUAGCUGAGAGGAGGUGCAUGGCCGUCGUCAGUUCGUACUGUGAAGCAUCCCGUUAAGUCAGGCAACGAGCGAGACCCACGCCAACAGUUGCCAGCAUGUCCUCCGGGAUGAUGGGGACACUGUUGGGACCGCCUCUGCUAAAGAGGAGGAAGGAAUGGGCAACGGUAGGUCAGCAUGCCCCGAAUUAUCCGGGCUACACGCGGGCUACAAUGGUCAGGACAAUGGGUAUCGACACCGAGAGGUGGAGGCAAUCUCCUAAACCUGUCCUUAGUUCGGAUUGUGGGCUGCAACUCGCCCACAUGAAGCUGGAAUCCGUAGUAAUCGCGUUUCAAAAUAGCGCGGUGAAUAUGUCCCUGCUCCUU